rnacentral:rRNA from 1 species
UACAGAGGUCUCAAGCGUUGUUCGGAUUCAUUGGGCGUAAAGGGUGCGUAGGCGGCGCGGUAAGUCGGGUGUGAAAUCUCGGAGCUUAACUCCGAAAUUGCAUUCGAUACUGCCGUGCUUGAGGACUGGAGAGGAGACUGGAAUUUACGGUGUAGCGGUGAAAUGCGUAGAUAUCGGGAGGAACACCAGUGGCGAAGGCGGCGAUCUGGGAAGAUACUGACGCUGAGGUGCGAAAGCGUGGGGAGCAAACAGG